UUCCGGUUGAUCCCGCCGGACCCGACUGCUAUCGGAGUGGGACUAAGCCAUGCGAGUCGAACGCCCCGGGCUGGCGGGGCGUGGCGUACGGCUCAGUAACACGUGGCCAACCUGCCCUGCGGACGGCUAUAACCCCGGGAAACUGGGGCUAAUAGCCGAUAGGGGAUAGGCGCUGGAAGGCCCUAUCCCCGAAAGGGCUACACACCCAUGCCGUGUGUAGCCGCCGCAGGAUGGGGCUGCGCCCUAUCAGGUAGUAGGUGGGGUAACGGCCCACCUAGCCUAUAACGGGUGCGGGCCCUGGGAGGGGGAGCCCGGAGAUGGGCACUGAGACAAGGGCCCAGGCCCUACGGGGCGCAGCAGGCGCGAAACCUCCGCUAUGCGCGAAAGCGCGACGGGGCCACUCCGAGUGCCGCCCGCUGAGGGCGGCUUUUGCCCAGUCCAAAAGGCUGGGCGAAUAAGGGGAGGGCAAGAUUGGUGUCAGCCGCCGCGGUAAUACCAACUCCCCGAGUGGUCGGGACGAUUAUUGGGCUUAAAGCGUUCGUAGCCGGUCGGGUGUGUCGUCGGUUAAAUCCGACGUCUCAAGCGUCCGGACUGCCGGCGAUACUACCCGGCUAGGGAGCGGGAGAGCGGCCGGUAUUCUCGGGGUAGGGGUAAAAUCCUCAGAUUCCCGGGA
rnacentral:rRNA from 1 species